rnacentral:tRNA from 1 species
GGUGCGGUAGUUCAGUUGGUUAGAAUACCGGCCUGUCACGCCGGGGGUCGCGGGUUCGAGUCCCGUCCGCACCGCCACC